GUAAAACAUGCCAUUUUUUUUUUAAAUUGCCUAUCCCACAUAACGUACAGACCCGCCACAAAUACAAAGCUUCUCUAUUCACACAGACAGUCUCCCUUGUAUUUGCACAGCGUACCAUCUUACACAACAAGAUAGAGGAUCAACAAUUACAUUCUACAUUCGCAACCAUUCACAGACAUUCAUUCACAUCCAUAUAUGUAUAGAGAAUAAUUCAGCAAAACUUAUUAGUUAAAAGUGCUCCCCACCCGGAAGCGUUGUUUUUAAACUCUAGAUACAUCAAUCGAAACCAUUCAAAAUCCUUUCGAAAACUGUUUCCCAUACGAAAACUCAACUUUUAAAAGUCGAUUGCCACGA
rnacentral:lncRNA from 1 species